GAUGAACGCUGGCGGCGUGCCUAAUACAUGCAAGUCGAGCGAACGGACCAGAAUCUUGCUUCUCUGAUGUUAGCGGCGGACGGGUGAGUAACAUGUGUAUAAUCCACUUAUAAUACGGGUAUAAUUUCGGAAAACGGGAUCUAAUACGGGAGGAUAUUUUGAACCGCGUGGGUCAAAGGAGAAAGACGGUCUUGCUGUCAGUUAUAGAGGGAUCCCCGCUGCAUGAGCUAGUUGGGAAGUUAACGGCCUAUCAAGGCAACUAGGCAUAGCCGAGCUGAGAGGCUGAUAGGCGACCCGGGAACUUAGCCACGGACCAGACUACUACGGGAGGCAGCAGUCGCGAACCUUACGCAACGGUCGAAAGCCUUACGCGGCAACGCGGCGUCAGUGAUGACGGUCUUGCGAUCGUAAAGCUCUGUUACUAGGGAAGAACAUAUGUGUCCGUAAAUGUGCACAUAUUGACGGUAACUAGUCAGGAAGCCCCGGCUAACUACGUG
rnacentral:rRNA from 1 species